rnacentral:rRNA from 1 species
GUGCCAGCAGCCGCGGUAAUACGUAGGUGGCAAGCGUUAUCCGGAAUUAUUGGGCGUAAAGCGCGCGUAGGCGGUUCUUUAAGUCUGAUGUGAAAGCCCACGGCUCAACCGUGGAGGGUCAUUGGAAACUGGAAAACUUGAGUGCAGAAGAGGAAAGUGGAAUUCCAUGUGUAGCGGUGAAAUGCGCAGAGAUAUGGAGGAACACCAGUGGCGAAGGCGACUUUCUGGUCUGUAACUGACGCUGAUGUGCGAAAGCGUGGGGAUCAAACAGGAUUAGAUA